UACGAAGGGGGCUAGCGUUGCUCGGAAUCACUGGGCGUAAAGCGCUCGUAGGCGGAUCUUUAAGUCAGGGGUGAAAUCCCGAGGCUCAACCUCGGAACUGCCUUUGAUACUGGGGAUCUCGAGUCCGGGAGAGGUGAGUGGAACUGCGAGUGUAGAGGUGAAAUUCGUAGAUAUUCGCAAGAACACCAGUGGCGAAGGCGGCUCACUGGCCCGGUACUGACGCUGAGGAGCGAAAGCGUGGGGAGCAAACAGG
rnacentral:rRNA from 1 species